rnacentral:rRNA from 1 species
CUCGAGAUGAGUUCCCUCACAGAGAGAAUCUGGUAAGUGCGCUGGAAGAAUACCAGUUUGAUAGGCGGAACGUGUACAGACCGAGAGGUUUUGAGCGAAUCCGUACUAAAGCACGAGGGCUUAA